CCUACGGGUGGCAGCAGUGGGGAAUAUUGCGCAAUGGGCGAAAGCCUGACGCAGCGACGCCGCGUGAGGGAUGAAGGUCUUCGGAUCGUACACCUCUGUCAGCAGGGAAGAACGGUCACUGUGCUAAUCAGCAGUGAAUUGACGGUACCUGCAACGGAAGCACCGGCUAAUUCCGUGCCAGCAGCCGCGGUAAUCCGGAGGGUGCGAGCGUUAAUCGGAAUUACUGGGAGUAACGAGCUCGUAGGCGGUAUGUCAAGUCAAGGGUGAAAUCCCCGCGCUCAACGUGGGAUCUGCCUUUGAAACUGGCAAACUGGAGUGUGUGAGAGGAUAGUGGAAUUCCAGGUGUAGGAGUGAAAUCCGUAGAUAUCUGGAGGAACAUCAGUGGCGAAGGCGACUAUCUGGCACAUAACUGACGCUGAGGAGCGAAAGCGUGGGUAGCAAACAGGAUUAGAUACCCCAGUAGUC
rnacentral:rRNA from 1 species